rnacentral:rRNA from 1 species
GACGAACGCUGGCGGCGUGCUUAACACAUGCAAGUCGAACGGAAAGGCCCUGCUUUUGUGGGGUGCUCGAGUGGCGAACGGGUGAGUAACACGUGAGUAACCUGCCCUUGACUUUGGGAUAACUUCAGGAAACUGGGGCUAAUACCGGAUAGGAGCUCCUGCUGCAUGGUGGGGGUUGGAAAGUUUCGGCGGUUGGGGAUGGACUCGCGGCUUAUCAGCUUGUUGGUGGGGUAGUGGCUUACCAAGGCUUUGACGGGUAGCCGGCCUGAGAGGGUGACCGGCCACAUUGGGACUGAGAUACGGCCCAGACUCCUACGGGAGGCAGCAGUGGGGAAUAUUGCACAAUGGGCGGAAGCCUGAUGCAGCAACGCCGCGUGCGGGAUGACGGCCUUCGGGUUGUAAACCGCUUUCUCCUGUGACGAAGCGUGAGUGACGGUAAUGGGUAAGGAAGCACCGGCUAACUACGUG